GAUUUUUUAACCGGAUAAUUAACUCGCCAGCAACUUCAACAAGUCGACCAACUGCUCCUGUAGACCCAGACAGUCGGCCAGCAACUUCAACAAGUCGGCCAGCUACUCCUUCAACAAGUCGACCAGCUGCUCCUGCAGCCCCAGAAAGUCGGCCAGCUACUCCUUCAAUUCAAACAAGUCGACCAGCUGCUCCUGCUGCCCCAGAAAGUGGGCCAGCAACUUCAACAAGUCGACCAACUGCUCCUGCAGCCCCAGAUAGUCAGCCAGCUACUCCUCCAAUUCAAACAAGUCGAUCAGUUGCUCCUGCAGCCCCAGAAAGUCGGUCAGCUACUCCUUCAACUUCAACAAGUCGAUCAACUGCUCCUGCAGCCACAGCAAGUCGGCCAGCUACGGUUUUAGUAGAACUGCCUCCAGCUACCACUAAAGUUCCGAAAAUACUACAUCGAUCAACAGCUACUUCUGCUGUGAUUAAAGGAGCUUGGUCAUAUACCGAUGAAGUUCCGGUACCCACUUUGCCAAGAGCAACGGCAGCAUUAAAAGAAGGGACCAUUCAAGUACAAGUCACGUCAUCAAAAGCUCGAAAAGAAGUUCCUCUGGCCAUAUGCGAUCCGGAAAAUGGAACACGAAAGUCGAAAUAAAGACGCAUGGAGAAAUCUUUUGCGGAUGACGUAGACUCAACCUCGGAUCCUUUAAGGAAACCUACAUUAUGCGCAGCUCUGCCUUGCAGAAAGCCGAGGGAGGAGACCGAUAUGGAUUCUGUGUGAUGGCAAAUGUGGCAAAUGGUUUCACCAAACGUGCUUAGGUUUGAAACGCGGCCAAAUUUCACAGUCUGAGCAUUUCAUUUGCCCAAGUUGUCUCUGAUUCGAUCAGGGAACCGAAACUGAAUAUGAGUUGGAUGACGAGUUCAUGGGGAGGAGGCAGAUCCGUGUUCGCUUCAUUCACCUCAACACUCUCUGGUUCGUUGACAUCAUUGGUCUGAGUCCCUUUUUUACCAUUAAUCUCAUC
rnacentral:lncRNA from 1 species